GACGAACGCUGGCGGCGUGCUUAACACAUGCAAGUCGAACGGAAAGGCCUGCUUUCCCUUGUGGAUUGCGGGUACUCGAGUGGCGAACGGGUGAGUAACACGUGAGUGAUCUGCCCCCAACUUGGGUAUAAGCCUGGGAAACUGGGUCUAAUUCCCGAUAGGACUGCAGGGUGGUGCCUGUGGUGGAAAACGAUUUUCUAGUGGUUGGGGAUGAGCUUGCGGCCUAUCAGCUUGUUGGUAGGGUAAUGGCCUACCAAGGCGGCGACGGGUAGCCGGCCUGAGAGGGUGGACGGCCACAUUGGGACUGAGAUACGGCCCAGACUCCUACGGGAGGCAGCAGUGGGGAAUAGUGCACAAUGGGCGGAAGCCUGAUGCAGCGACGCCGCGUGGGGGAUGACGGCCUUCGGGUUGUAAACUCCUUUCGACCGCGAGGAAGCCACCUGGUUGGAAGGGUGGUGACGGUAGUGGUAGAAGAAGCACCGGCUAACUACGUG
rnacentral:rRNA from 1 species